CAGGAAAUGAGAUGAUUUGGUGUUGGUGGUAACGUGAAGGAGACAAUUUGAGUUGUUGAAGCCUACUAAUUCUUUUUAAAAUCAACAAGCGGAAGCUUCUCCAAAUCGAUGCUACUGCUCCUAUCAUUUGGUAUUGAAGGUUGAAAACAUGUGGCCGUGCGGGGAGAGGCCACCGGCGGAGGGGUCGGCCGGGACGGGGGAGGUGCAGCCGGGAUGAGCAGGAAGAAAAAGAAAGUACUACAGUGAGGUGUUCCAGGUGGUCACCUGUAGGCACAGAAGUUUUGAAGACUUCUGUUAAAACUAAAAGUUGGAGCUGCUACACAAGGUGAAAUUCAGAACCCACCUGCAGGAAACGAGGUGAUCUGGCGUUUUUGGUAACAUACAGGAGUAGGAAUCAUCACAGACUGGCCAGUUGGGGCCUACCCUCACUAGAAAAUUAGCAAGGUGAGCACAAACCGGUUCCGGCUCAUUUGAGAAGAAAUCUGGAGCCUACACAAUACACUCUCAUUCGCCAAUGUGUUAACUUGUUGCAUUGCCAGAGUGGUGAUUUUUGGUUCGUUCAGUUGGAGCAUAUCAACAUUCAUGUGUUCACCUAGAAGAAUACAUUUAUGUUAUGAGGGGCAUCAGGAGACAAGGAGCGAAUGAUGAGUUUUGAGGUUCUAAACAUUGUGAUGAGUUUCUAGCUGGAUGGUCAAGGUGGUUUGGUUGGGCCUAUUUACCUCUGGGCCCAGGAAAAUGCAUACCAUCCGGCAUCUGACCCGGCCUGAAGCUCUGACGAUAUAUUGCUGUCGAAACAUAGUUGCAGAGAAAGAAGGAUAUGGACUCAGUUGGCAAUUAAGAAUUUUUAUUUCUUCGCUUCGUCGGAAGCUUCUCCAAAUCGAUGCUACUGCUCCUAUUUUAUCAUUGGGCUAUCGAAGGUUGACCGACAAACAUGUGGCUCCUGUUGGUUUUCCGAAAAGUAAAAUGAGGCACAUGAAGCAAAGUGGAUCAAAAUUGGCGAAACAAUCGCCAUCACCUGGACAAGUUAUGAUCGCUGCUGCUUCAGAACUGGUAGUUCAGUGACGGUGGCAGCAAAAGAGAGCUAACAAUGUGACGAGUGAACUUCUAUUUCCCACGGGUUAGAAAUGCGGGCUUCCGGCGCUAAGGCUCUGUCGUGCGAACCGUGGUGACCCUGGCCGAGAGGGAGGGCUCCAUGUGGCGUGGAGACUGGCGGUGAACGCCGGCGCUGGUGAAUUUGGAUCAGUUCGUAGUGCCGCCGCCGAUUCUGCUCCGUGGCAGCUAGUCACCAGCUCAUGAUUGGACCGGCAGUGCGUAGUGCGUAUUGACCCACGGAAUUGGGAGACACUCAUUCCCCACCCAGCACAAGAAACGAAGUAAUCAACAGGUCGAUUAGCUUGGCUGGUUGGGGGGCAAGGAACCAUCGCAGAUUGGAGGG